CUCAGUCUGACAUGACUGCUACGUAGUACCCAGACGGCUUCUUUCUCGAUCUUCAGGGGUACGUGUCUUCCAUCCAGGUCCCAAUAUCAUCACCAGAUGAGAAUAUGUAUGGAUUCAUGAACAAGAAAAUUGCUUAACCAUUUGAUCAAGAGAGAUUGGAAAAUCAAGAUGAAGCAGGUCUGGGUGAAAGAGCUGUGAAUGGAUUAAUGGAACAGAAAGGAGGUGUGGAGAUCCUUCUAUUACAUGUUAAUGAUCACCAGGGAACAUCCACUACAAUAGAACAUCCCACUAAAUCACCAGUAGACACAAGAGAAUAUGUGGCCAGUUGACUUUGGCCAGCCUCUGUCAUUAGAUGUCAAUGUUCAAACAACGGUACAUGAAUGGCAUAGCCCUGGUAGCAGGAGUGGGGGCUAUGCAUGGAUCCAGCAAUACACACUCCCACUCCACAACAUUGACCCAGCCACCAAGGCUGACAAAAUAUUCAACCUUCCAGCAACAGAAACCAAGGAUGACCCUUAUCCCUGCCCAGGGCCUCAGCUGGCACCAGCAUCUAAAGGCUUAGAGAGUUAGUGAUCCACCAACAUGGCAUCUCACAUAACAUCCCAUCAAACCAAGUGACCCACUUUACUAGAAAUGAGGUGCACGAGUGGACAAGCUCCAGCUUGACCCAAGUGGAACAAGCUCUACUAGUCCCAUCAGAUCAUGCACCAUCCAGAAGCUGCCACACUAACAGAGUGAUGGAAAGGCCUGUUGAAGGCAUAGUGGAUGAGCCACACCAUUGCAAGGCUAAACAAACAAUCAUUAUAUGAUGCUGUGUCCCCAAGAGGUAAAAUAUGUGGGAGCUAAGGAGUGGAAGCAGCAAUAGCCUCACUUACCAUCAAUACAAUUGACUCCUUAGGGAACUUGUGCCUAGGCUCUGUGGGUUUAGAGGUCCUGGUGCCCAAAGGAGAUGUGCUUCCAUCAGGGAAUACAACAAGCAUUCAAUUGAACAUGAGGUUAAGGCUGCCACUUGGGAGCAUCAGGCUCCUCAUGCCAAGAGAUCACCAAGCAAAAAGAGGAAUCACCGUACCAUGAGCAUUAAUCAAUCCCAUUCUUCAGAAGGAGAUGGGACUGCUGACACAAGGCCACAGAGAGGCCCCCAGAUAACUUGCCUGGGUGUCCCUUAGAAUUCCCUUGCCCAUUUUUUAAUAAUAGAUGGAUAAAUGCAACAGUCUCCACCUAACAAAGGCAUAAUGAUGGGACUUCUCAAGAGUGAGAAGCUAGGUCAUUCCACCAGCCAAGUAGACCAGCAGAGGUACCAAAAAGAGACAGGAAAUCUAGACUGUAAAGUAAAACAGGAAGAUUCCCCAGGAACAGAAGCCAACUGUGAUCCUAGAGGAGCUUCUCCUUAACAUGCAGAAAGAAGUGGAUCCAUGAAGCACAAGAGCUGAGCUGUCAUGGAAACUGCACAUCUCAAAUUUCCCAUCAGGACUGAAGGACCUAGUCCCCCACAGGCUGAAGACAGUCACCUUACCCAACUUCAUGCUCUCUUCCAGGGGCAGCCUGCAUCCAACAACUUGUCAGCACAGGACUAUAAAGGCCUUACCCUUUGCCUCUGUGAAGCAUCCCACAGAGAGGUGCAUCCACCUCUGAAGGUACAUCCCAGCUUCAGGCUCCCAGUCACUUUGGGCUUACCCAGCCUCUUCGUCUGCCCUGCUUUUCUCCCUCCCCUUCCUUCCUGCAGGUUUGGAUCCUGAGAGCACUCCCUAAUAAACCUCAUGCCCACAAAUCUCUAUCUUGGAAUCUGCUUCUUCGGAACCAAAUCUGGGACAGAUCAAUUUACAAAGAUAGAAGGGUUUAGGAAGGCAAAAGGGUUUCUGUUACCAUGUCUAGGCCUGAAGGGACAAAGAGAGGAACUUGGAGCAAGAGCCAUAUGGAAAAAACAAUCUGAAAGAUUGUAGGGAUUCUGGCAGAAGCACAAGGCCAAGCCCUGGCAAUCCCCACCUCACAUCCCUCCGCUCUUUCAUCUCCCCUUAGUGCCUCCCAUUGUAGAACCAAACUGGAAGUGGUGGUCAGUGGAUUCCUUUGUCUGUUUCUUAUAGGUCAGCCUCCUGGGGCAGAGAGCAUGUUAGAGUGUGGAUUUGGAGGUGCAAAUGAAAGUUACCCUGUAGCCCACUUGACUCUGUAGAUUUCUUUUUCUCUUACAGAAAAUAAAUUAAAUUAUGUAUCUUCUUUAGAGAUAGGGUAUGACUUCUAUUUUGAGUUAUCUGUGUCAUUUAAUUAAUAUACAAAUAAAAUGACAUGACAGAAAAUACUUACUUGAAUACAAAGGACAAGUAAUUAGAUCUUAGAUAAUAAAUCCAUCCCUUUAGAUAAGACUUUAGGCAAAUGGAUUUAUAAGUAAAAGCAAUAGGAAAACUUGCUACCUAAGCAUGAAAAAUGAUGUUCCUGAUAAAUUCCUGGAAGGAAGCUGGUGUCAGCCCCCAACUCCUUUCUAGGCCUCUACCAGCCUAUAUUCCAAAUGGCCCUGCCAUGGCUCUUCUUUUCUUAAGAUUUGAUCUUUCUCCAGGCAUGGAUGAACCACAUGUAAGACAUUUAAACAGCCCAGGUGCCAAAUUUAGUAGGGCUUAGGAUUACACAACAUUCCCAAACCUGGGAUCUGAAGGGCCAGGUGCUGACCAACAGGAUCCCAAAUUCAUCCCAGGGGCUCUUUGACCGAUAACCAGAAUGUGAAUUCAACUGCUGGAUGACCCCAUGCAAAGCUCUCCCUGGCGCUGAGUAAUCCAGUUCCCUUUUCAUUAAAAGCCAUCUACUUUCCCAGGAGGGGGAAUCCUUCUGCACAGCCCAUUCCUAUGACUAAGCUCUGUGUUCACAAGGAAGAUCUCCUCUCAGUCCUGCUAUGCCCCCACUGCUGAGCUUGGAACCCCAAUACUAAGUAUAGCCUGUGUCACAAUUGUUCUUGCUGAGAUCUUCUACUAUUGCCUGAACACAACUCAUUCCUGAUCCCCUCUAGUGAGUAUGUCCCUGGCCAUUUUUCAGCACUUUUAUCCUCUUUUCUUGCUCUGAGUUUUCAUGGACAGGGUAUCUAGGAAAAGGAAAAGGAAGAAGGAAUAAAUCAAAUGCCUACAGACCUUCAAAGAGUGCUCCAAAGCCAGUGUAAAGCACUGGGGAACAGUGAGGAUUAGGGCAAAAUAUUUCUUAUAAUGUUCUGAGUUUCAUGAGUUGAAGGCUUUAGUGCUUAAUGUCCAAAUGAUGCAAAUGAAAACACCCUUUCAUUCUUCUUUUCCUUUUUAAAAAACAAGGAAGAAGACAGUCAAAGCCUCAGUCUAUACUAUAUUUACACUUGACUCAAAUGCAUUAAUAACAUUGUAGACUAAGGAGGUAUCUGGGGGAAAAAUAGUUUUGUGAUUUAACUGUAGUGCAAAUUUUACCUAGUAAAAGGUUUUUGAUAUUUAUCCUCAGAGAAGAUCUA
rnacentral:lncRNA from 1 species